rfam:Geobacillus caldoxylosilyticus NBRC 107762 DNA, contig: GCA01S012.
CUCUUAUCCCGAGUUGGUGGAGGGACAGGCCCAAUGAAGCCCAGCAACCGUCACAACUGGAAACAUGUGAAAUGGUGCUAACCUGUGGCAAGGCGAUGUCCUUGAACGAUAAGAG